AAUCACAAACUUUGUAGAACAUUCAUUCAUAAGUUUUCUAUAUGAAUUUAUACAUUCAUCAGUAAGAGAUGUUUCAGCAAUUUUCUUGUUUAAUACCUUAUAUUUCCCUGCUUCAAACUUGGCGACCAUAUUCUUUAAUAGUGAGUUUGAUUCCACUAACGAAAGUAAGAGAGAAUUGCACCCAAUAAUCUUCAGAUUUUUGCGAUAUAUUUGUUUCAUGUCAUACGAAAAUUCUAUACUCCCUUGCUUAGGUGCGGAAAUAUAAGACAACCUUCCCCCUAUUCCCAAUUGAUUGAGAGCCGAUUUCAUCAACAAAGGAUCGCCCACCGUAUCGAUUACCACAUCAACUUUCUCAACCAAUUCGUGGACCCUUUUUAAUUCCGGAUCCACCACUGUAUUGAUAUCGGUUGAGCCGCUCCUAGACACUGUGAUUACCUUACAUCCCCAAUCCUCUGCUAUUUGACAAACAGCCGACCCGACAGCACCUAAGGCUCCAACCACUAGUACUAUAUCGCUGCCUUUGGUUUCUCCUCUGCUUAAAGCCAAAUAAGCGGUUGUAAAAGGGACACCGACUGAUGCUGCCUCAGUAAACGACAAAUUGCUUGGCAUACGAACAGCUGCUUUUUCCGGUAUUAUGCAGUAUUCAGCAUGAGUACCGUCUUUAGUGAAUGAUAGUUCGCUACCGCUCGUUCCAAACACUCGAGUUCCUACUAAAUGAGAUGCGCCACUAAUUACAGUACCAGCAUAAUCUCGCCCAACGAUUCGAGGAUAAACAGUAUACGGGAAACCCCCUGUUGCGUUCAUUAGAUCACUGGGGUUGAUGGCAGCAGCUUCAAUUUUUACAAGCAACUCUCCAUUCUUUGGUUGGGGAAUAGGAACACUCUGAAUUUCAAUACCCAAACAACCUGGCUUCGGUUUUUUUAACAUUCGUAACGCCUUCAUCAUUUGAUAGUAUUGCAUUUAAUAAAUCCUUCUUUUUGAAGUAAAAAACCCUCUAGUCUUACAUAAAGUUAUCAUUAUUAUCUUAUACAGUCGAUAUGUAAUUUGUAUAUGACACCCACGGCAAAAUACGAAUAUCAAAUUUCUCGAAAAAACACAGGGCUAAAAAUAUUUGACUAUUAAAUGUAAAUUACCAAAAAAAUGGUUCUCAAAGCUGGAAAUAGUUGCGUGCAGCCAAAAGUACAACACAAGUUUUCACUUGACCCGACAUUUCAGUCGAUUAGCCGGUGAUUCCGUUGACUUGUUCGAUCAGUAUGAACAAAGUAGAAAUCAAUGACUUACCGAAAUGCGCAGUACUUCAUAAGC